AUGUUUUUUUCUCAGGGAAAUAUUGUUGGUUUUAUAGUGUUUUAAAUAUAAUUUUGGAUGGUUGUUAGUAUUUAUGUUAAAAACCCGUACAAAUUUCCAGAUGAUACAUUAUUCAAUUGAAUUUGUGUUACGAACGAUGUUUGGGGGGCCAUUGUUUUUAAAGAUUGUGUAUGGGAUUGGUUUUUAACCUAAUUACAUGUGUAACGUGGGAUUCAUGGAUUUGGCAUUAAAACAUCAAUUUAACCAGCAUGUGGUUGUCAAAAUGUUCAUAAUGAUUUACAUUGCGUGAUGAAUUGAUUGUUGUGGUAUUUAAAUGACAUGUAGUCCGUAGAAUAUCGCUCAAGCGAUGUAUUCCAUCUUCUGCAGGUAUAUGGUUUAUGGAGAUGCCAUCAUAAGUAGUAAACAUUCAUUUCAAGAUAUAAUAUGCUUAUAUUGGGACAUAAACAUGUUUAUUGAGGUUGCCUGUACAAGCGAAAGGUUAUCUGGCUGGGUUGACAGAAGGAAGUAUCCUUAAAUAAAACUUCAUUACUCUGUGUAAAUGGUGAAGUUAGGACCAAAGGGGAUAACAUCAGUACCAGAGUGGUUUGCAAGAAUUUGUUAAUUCCUUGAUUUGUUUACAGGUUAUAGCAGUUGUUGUACCAUGGUUGGUUAUUUUUUUUUUCUGUGGAAAUAUAUCAUUUGUAACAUAAUUUCAUUAGAAAUCUAUUACUUAGGGUUUUUCUUUUACUUGAUGUGAGUGUUCAGUAUAAAAUCCAGAUUUUUCUUUUCAGAUUUUAGCUCGGGUUGUUUCUGAAGAUAGAGUUAAGUUUGUUUGGAUAUUUUCAUGCUUUUAUUUCCUUUCAGGUAUGCAGAAUGAGUUCUAAAGUAAAGUGGUUUUCAAUCUGUGGUGAGCUGGUGAAGGCUUUGGCUGUUUUAAACAUGGGUCACUAUUUAGAUGAUUGAUUAGUAUCUGUUACUAUAGGUUGACAAGGUACAACAUUUUUUGUGCAUCUUGCAUUUAUUUUACUGGUAGAUUUUUUCCUGUUCUUCAGUUUUACAUAACUAGGACUAUGGUUGAAGGAUUUGCAAUGUAUUGGUAUUUCAGGCUUUUAUGAUAACUGUUACGUUACGUUUAUUUGAUUCCUUUAAAUUGGGGUUGAGAGAUUGGGUAGCUGUGGUUUUACUUAUGGUGUUUCCAUACGUACGAUGUCAAUUUAUCGAGGUUCCAUUGCCGAACAUGUUGGAGAUGUGAAGGUAGCUGUUGCAUUCUUUGAUCACGUAUUACUACGCCUUUUACUCACUCUUUGUGACGUUUGUUUCUUUAAUUUUUGUAGAUUUCAAUUUCAUUAUUAACUGUAUAUCCGUAUAUUUGUUCUUUUAAUGCAGAUUUUGGGUGGGUUCUACUAGCCAUUAUUACGGUGGGUUUUCAACUGAGCCGUGAUGAGUUGAAUAUUUUUAUUGAGAUAAAUUUGAAUUAUGUCUUAUUUUAAUUAUUUUUUGUCGGUAUUAGCGAGCAGAUGUCCGUUUGUGAUUAUAUUGGUGAUGCCUUAACAAUGCAUUUUCUGGUAGUAUUGUAGAGGUGACUUACGUUGGUGAGGUCUCUUCGCGGUUACGUCGAUCUUAGGACAGUGCCAUUAUGAAUGAUAUAGCGGUCGAUGAUUGUUUCGAACCGGAAAAGGAGUUCAAAGUCAUGUGAUUCCUGGCAAUCGGAGGGACGUCUGAAAAUAAAUAUAAAUAAUAAUAAUAUAAAUUUCUGUUUAUAAAAAAAAAUUUUUUUAUGUUCUGUGGCUAUGUUUUCCCAUGACUUGUGAUGUAAGGUUGUGCUGAGUUAUACUAAUACUGUUGUGGCUUUAAAUUAUUUAUUAAUUGUAUGAUGAAUUGUCAAUAAAACACAUUUUAAAUAAUA